rnacentral:rRNA from 1 species
GGUUAAGCGACUAAGCGUACACGGUGGAUGCCCUGGCAGUCAGAGGCGAUGAAGGACGUGCUAAUCUGCGAAAAGCGCCGGCGAGGUGAUAUGAACCCUUGACCCGGCGAUGUCCGAAUGGGGAAACCCAGUGCAAUCCGUUGCACUAUCGUUAACUGAAUACAUAGGUUAACGAGGCGAACCGGGGGAACUGAAACAUCUAAGUACCCCGAGGAAAAGAAAUCAACCGAGAUUCCCCCAGUAGCGGCGAGCGAACGGGGAGCAGCCCAGAGUCUGAAUCAGCUUGUGUGUUAGUGGAAGCGUCUGGAAAGUCGCACGGUACAGGGUGAAAGUCCCGUACACGAAAAUGCACAGGCUGUGAACUCGAAGAGUAGGGCGGGACACGUGGUAUCCUGUCUGAAUAUGGGGGGACCAUCCUCCAAGGCUAAAUACUCCUGACUGACCGAUAGUGAACCAGUACCGUGAGGGAAAGGCGAAAAGAACCCCGGCGAGGGGAGUGAAAAAGAACCUGAAACCGUGUACGUACAAGCAGUGGGAGCACCUUCGUGGUGUGACUGCGUACCUUUUGUAUAAUGGGUCAGCGACUUAUAUUCUGUAGCAAGGUUAACCGUAUAGGGGAGCCGAAGGGAAACCGAGUCUUAACUGGGCGUUAAGUUGCAGGGUAUAGACCCGAAACCCGGUGAUCUAGCCAUGGGCAGGUUGAAGGUUGGGUAACACUAACUGGAGGACCGAACCGACUAAUGUUGAAAAAUUAGCGGAUGACCUGUGGCUGGGGGUGAAAGGCCAAUCAAACCGGGAGAUAGCUGGUUCUCCCCGAAAGCUAUUUAGGUAGCGCCUCGUGAACUCAUCUUCGGGGGUAGAGCACUGUUUCGGCUAGGGGGCCAUCCCGGCUUACCAACCCGAUGCAAACUACGAAUACCGAAGAAUGUUAUCACGGGAGACACACGGCGGGUGCUAACGUCCGUCGUGAAGAGGGAAACAACCCAGACCGCCAGCUAAGGUCCCAAAGUCAUGGUUAAGUGGGAAACGAUGUGGGAAGGCCCAGACAGCCAGGAUGUUGGCUUAGAAGCAGCCAUCAUUUAAAGAAAGCGUAAUAGCUCACUGGUCGAGUCGGCCUGCGCGGAAGAUGUAACGGGGCUAAACCAUGCACCGAAGCUGCGGCAGCGACACUAUGUGUUGUUGGGUAGGGGAGCGUUCUGUAAGCUGUUGAAGGUGGCCUGUGAGGGUUGCUGGAGGUAUCAGAAGUGCGAAUGCUGACAUAAGUAACGAUAAAGCGGGUGAAAAGCCCGCUCGCCGGAAGACCAAGGGUUCCUGUCCAACGUUAAUCGGGGCAGGGUGAGUCGACCCCUAAGGCGAGGCCGAAAGGCGUAGUCGAUGGGAAACAGGUUAAUAUUCCUGUACUUGGUGUUACUGCGAAGGGGGGACGGAGAAAGCUAUGUUAGCCGGGCGACGGUUGUCCCGGUUUAAGCAUGUAGGCGGAGGUUCCAGGUAAAUCCGGUACCUUUUAACGCUGAGGUGUGAUGACGAGGCACUACGGUGCUGAAGUAACAAAUGCCCUGCUUCCAGGAAAAGCCUCUAAGCAUCAGGUAACACGAAAUCGUACCCCAAACCGACACAGGUGGUCAGGUAGAGAAUACCAAGGCGCUUGAGAGAACUCGGGUGAAGGAACUAGGCAAAAUGGUGCCGUAACUUCGGGAGAAGGCACGCUGAUAUGUAGGUGAAGCCCCUGCGGGUGGAGCUGAAAUCAGUCGAAGAUACCAGCUGGCUGCAACUGUUUAUUAAAAACACAGCACUGUGCAAACACGAAAGUGGACGUAUACGGUGUGACGCCUGCCCGGUGCCGGAAGGUUAAUUGAUGGGGUUAGCGGUAACGCGAAGCUCUUGAUCGAAGCCCCGGUAAACGGCGGCCGUAACUAUAACGGUCCUAAGGUAGCGAAAUUCCUUGUCGGGUAAGUUCCGACCUGCACGAAUGGCGUAAUGAUGGCCAGGCUGUCUCCACCCGAGACUCAGUGAAAUUGAACUCGCUGUGAAGAUGCAGUGUACCCGCGGCAAGACGGAAAGACCCCGUGAACCUUUACUAUAGCUUGACACUGAACACUGGUCCUUGAUGUGUAGGAUAGGUGGGAGGCUUUGAAGCGUGGACGCCAGUCUGCGUGGAGCCAUCCUUGAAAUACCACCCUUUAAUGGCUGGUGUUCUAACGUAGACCCGUAAUCCGGGUUGCGGACAGUGUCUGGUGGGUAGUUUGACUGGGGCGGUCUCCUCCCAAAGAGUAACGGAGGAGCACGAAGGUUAGCUAAUCCUGGUCGGACAUCAGGAGGUUAGUGCAAUGGCAUAAGCUAGCUUGACUGCGAGAGUGACGGCUCGAGCAGGUGCGAAAGCAGGUCAUAGUGAUCCGGUGGUUCUGAAUGGAAGGGCCAUCGCUCAACGGAUAAAAGGUACUCCGGGGAUAACAGGCUGAUACCGCCCAAGAGUUCAUAUCGACGGCGGUGUUUGGCACCUCGAUGUCGGCUCAUCACAUCCUGGGGCUGAAGUAGGUCCCAAGGGUAUGGCUGUUCGCCAUUUAAAGUGGUACGCGAGCUGGGUUUAGAACGUCGUGAGACAGUUCGGUCCCUAUCUGCCGUGGGCGCUGGAGAAUUGAGGGGGGCUGCUCCUAGUACGAGAGGACCGGAGUGGACGCAUCACUGGUGUUCGGGUUGUCAUGCCAAUGGCACUGCCCGGUAGCUAAAUGCGGAAGAGAUAAGUGCUGAAAGCAUCUAAGCACGAAACUUGCCCCGAGAUGAGUUCUCCCUGAGACUUAAAGUCUCCUGAAGGAACGUUAAAGACGAUGACGUUGAUAGGUCGGGUGUGUAAGCGCAGCGAUGCGUUGAGCUAACCGAUACUAAUGAACCGUGAGGCUUAACCUU